ensembl:lncRNA
GGAAUAUAAACACUGCUGCUGAGACCCCGCAAUUCCCUCAAAAUGCAAUGCAAUGCAAGGACAGUGGAGAACUACAGGAUAACACAGACGAUCUCAUGAGUCAGCCCAGUGCUUCCCACAGAGAAGGUAGAGAUGAUGUCAACAGCAGAAGCUCCUCCACAUCUAGGCUUUUAGAUACUGCCCUUCAACAGACUGCCAAUCAUGAUGAUGACAUCAGCACAGAUGGUCACAUGAGUAACACUUCAACCAAUGGAGAGAAAUAAAUCAACAAUUCCAGCUGUGAAGAUGAACUCAGUAAUGAGAACUCCUCCACAACCAGCCUGCUGGAUAUGGACAUUCAAGAGAAUGAUGAUUCAGAUAACCAAAUCCAUACAGAAGAACACUGGAGUAACACUUCCAACAGUGAAGAUGAUGAACUCAACACUAGGAACCCUACCACAAGCCAAUUGGAUGCGGACAUUUCAGAGAAUGAAGAAGUCCUGUCACAUUCUGAAGAGGACUUGAUUGAUGCCGCCAGUAAUGAAGGUGAAAACCAUGCUGAUGAUGAAGAUGUGACUAGAGAAAAGACACCUGAUUUUCCAGUGGGCAGUGAAGACCAAGCAGACAAGCCCCUGUAUCCCGGUGCACCUGUUUCAAAGGAAGAAAGUUUGUUGAUGCUGAUGUCGUAUGUGCUGCGGAACAAUUUAACAGGCAAAGCACUUACUCAUUUACUGGAACUCUUCAACCUGAUGUUUCCAGGUCUGAUUCCACCCUCACAUUACCUUUUCAACAAAGAAUUUGGAAGUUCAUCACAGCCUGAAGUUCACUUUUAUUGUGAAAAAUGUUUAGCAUACUUUGGCAUUAGUGCAGACUGUCCCUCUCAUUGUACCCUUUGCAACACAGUAUUUGAUGCCAACACAAGUUUAAAAAAGGGCUUCUACUUUCUUGUAAUUCCCCUUCAUGCACAGAUUAAACAACUUCUGCAGGAACAUGAUGUUAAUCUUACUGAAAAAAGUAGAUCCUUUGAUGUUUUAACCGACAUACAGUCUGGUGGAGAGUAUCAAAAAUUGUGUGACAGUGGAGUUCUUGGAAAAGAUGAUUUGACUCUGAUUUGGAAUUGUGAUGGUGCACCAGUGUUCAAAAGCUCUAAAUGCAGCAUUUGGCCGAUUCAGUGCCAGAUAAUUGAACUGGAACCAGAAAUGAGAAAAAGGCACUUUUUGAUGUCAGCAUUAUGGUUUGGGCCAACUAAACCAUCCAUGUUAACAUUGCUGACACCAUUUGUGAAAGAAGCUUCAUUAUUAGAGACUGAAGGUAUUGACUGGCAAGACAGACAAGGACACAGUCAUAUUUCUAAAGUAUUUGUGCUGAUUUGUAGCUCUGAUUCUGUGGCUCGUCCAUUGCUUCGCAACACUAAACAGUUCAAUGGUUUUUACGGCUGUGAUUUUUGCUUGCACAGAGGUGGUAAAUCGUAUCCAUACGAACAACCUGAACCCCCACGUAGAAAUGAGAGGGACCAUUUCAGUCAUGCAAUGUCAGGUACAACUGAUGAGCCAGUGUUUGGAGUCAAAGGGCCAUCUCCUUUAAUGCAGCUUCAACACUUCCAAAUGAUAAAUGGCUUUGUACCUGAAUUUCAACACAAUGUGUGCCUUGGAGUCACUCGGCAGCUCUCAACACUAUGGUUUGAUACAACAAACAGUGAUUCCCCCUGGUACAUAGGUAAAGAAAUGGCUGAAGUUGAUAGGCGACUUGUAAAAAUCAAACCACCUGUGGAGAUUACUAGGACACCAAGAUCACUGACUGAAAGGAAGUUCUGGAAAGCUUCAGAGUGCCGAGCAUUCCUCCUUUUCUAUUCACUACCUGUAUUGAAAGGCAUACUCCCUGCAAGAUUUUGGAACCAUUUGUUCCUACUGGUGUUUGGCAUAUAUACUUUAUUGCAGGAUACCAUAAAGACCAAAAGCAUCCAGAUGGCAGAGCUUGCUUUAAAAAAAAUUGUCAUUGAGUUCCAAAGACUGUAUGGGAAAAACAACAUGACCUUUAAUAUACACUUGCUAACACACAGUGCUCAAAGUGUCAAACACUGGGGGCCAUUAUGGGCUGUAUCAACUUUUUCAUUUGAAUCCAAUAUGGGCACUCUUAAGAAGUAUUUUCAUGGAACACAGUGUGUCCCCUCACAAAUAGUUAGAACAUUUCUGUUGUGGAGAGAAUUGCCACAAAGGGCCAAGAACACUAUCCACCCAGAACAUGAAAAUGUACAAUCUUUUGUUGAAGAACUUUACUUUAAUAAAAGAAAAACAGAAAAUUGUGAAAUACUAAAUGAAAGUGUCAGAGGUUUUGGUCAUCCCCCGAUUCAAGAAAGUAUUAAAAUGUUAUAUAGGCUUGCCCUUGCAAAGUUGUGUGGAAAUCUAAGCAACUGCUUCUGGUCUUACAACCGUUUUUUGGUUGAUGGAGUUCUGUAUCACAGUCAAAACUAUGACAGACUAAAGAAGAGAUACAACAGUGCUGUAUGCUUGAAAGAUGGUACAUUUUGUUUAGUUACUGACUUGGUUGUUUUUAAACAGGUGUGUUCACAUCAAAUUUCUGCAUUCUGUUCGUGUGCUAAACUAUGUUGUGUUUUAGUCGAGGUACUUUCUAAAUCACACAGGCCUGUAUGUAAAGAUUCACAGAUCAAUGUACAAAGUACUUUCAUGUAUCAGGUUAAAAAGACUGAAACUGUUAAUGCUGUCUGGCCUGACAUGAUUAAAACAAAAUGUGUUCUUGUUGAAACAGAUGAUGCUGUGUCCAUAACACCAUUGCCAAACCCUUAUGAAAGGGACUAGAACUUGAUCAAUAAAGUCAAGUCAAAUGUUUCUCUGUUUUUGUGUAUGUUUUUAAGGUAC